CAGAUCCUUAAUCCACUGAGUGAGGCCAGGGAUUGGACCUGUGACCUCAUGGUUCCUAGUUGGAUUUGUCUCCACUGUGCCAUGAAGGGAACUCCAGUUUUGUUUAUAGUAUCUCUUCAUAUAGAAGUAUUGUAGUUUUAUGAAGUCAAAUGUGCCUAUUUCUUCUUUAGGUUUUCAUAUGAUCACUAGAAGACUUAUAGAUGUAUUCUCACCUACAUCACUGCCAUCUUAUUGGCCUGGGUGCAGAUACCUGAGGAGUGAGAAGAUUGCUGCUGUGCUGUAAUAGGGGCCUGCAGAACAGAACAAGUUGCUGUGUGACCUGGGCAAGGCGUGGCAGAAGGUAGAGGACCAGGCCUUGGCUUCAGGGGGUGGGGGAGGAUGGAAGGCCCCCCCAUGACUUAGCCUCCACUCUCGUAUGGAGAAGGGCCUAU
rnacentral:lncRNA from 1 species